rnacentral:lncRNA from 1 species
GUUUGUCAUAACCGCGCUCGAUUGUGAAGAGAGCAUGCAUUGAAUAACAACGCGAGAAAGCACGUACUGCGUGUUAUAGACGGCGUGUAAUUUUCAUUAACCAUGAGGUUUUCAUAUAUUUAUUUAGUAUAACUCAACAGUUUUUACAGAAAAACCCUGUUUCUCAAAACGUUUUGUGUUCGUUCUGUCCUCUGACCUCUCUAUUUUCAAUGUUACUGGACAAAAGUCUAUUACCAUAAUAAAUUAACAUGAACUAUAUAAUAAACUGGACAAAGUCCAAAACACCCCCGCCCGUGACGUGAACGGGGGAACGUUACUCAUCAUUAAAAGCUUCCAGUAAUGCUAACCGUCCUACAGGACGUGUCAAUGUUCCAGUUUUCGUUGCAAUCUCCGCGGAUCUGAUCAGUCCGUCUUCACUUGCGAUCGGUGCAAUCACUCUUCCGAGCCUCCAAUGCGAACGAGGUACGUCCCUCUCAACGAUCAAGACAAGAUCACCGCGACGUAGAUUUCUGUGUGCAACAUUCCAUUUGCUUCGCUUUAUUAACUGCGGAAUGUACUCAUUCGACCAUCGGCGCCAGAAUUGGUUCGCUAAGAACUGGCUAUGACGCCAUCUUCGACGUAACGACAUAUCUCGUUGGUUAAACUCGCCGGGCGACACGUUCGAACUCGCACGACCAUGCAAGAAGUGGUUUGGUGUAAUCACGCUGAGAUCUGUUGGUGAAUCACUGCUUCCACCAUAGACAAGCGGACGAGAGUUCAGCAUCGCUUCUACCUCGGCAAUGACAGUAAGGAAAACUUCAUCGACUGUGAGAACAUUCCCAAGCAUAACUUUCAAUGCCCGUUUGACAGACUUUACUAACGCUUCCCAGGCACCUCCAAACCAUGGGGCAGCAGGCGGGUUAAAGAUCCAACGUACUCCACGUGCUGUUAACUCAUUCGAGAUUUUCUCUUGAUCCAGAUCUUCCAACGCUUCGCGCAACUCUCUUUCGGCACCUACGAAAUUUGUCCCAUUAUCACUCAUUAUACAAACAGGGACUCCUCUACGAGCUUGAAAUCGUCGCAACGCCAUUAUACACGAGUCAGUGUCCAAACUAUGUGCGACCUCGAGAUGAACCGCGCGCAUAUGGAGACACGUAAAUAAGCAAAUAUAGCGUUUUUCCUUUCGAUUGCGUCCAAUUCGAGUCUCAAACGGUCCGGCAUAAUCGAUCCCAACGUGUCGAAAAGGAACACUUGCGCCUGCGAGACGUACAUUCGGUAAAUUGGCCAUUUUCUGGGUCAUAGGUUUAACACGACGGCGAAAACAUAGUGGGCACUUAACCGUACAGUUCUUAACUUCGGCUCGACCGUGCAAAAUCCAGUAUUUCUCACGUACGUGAUUAAAGACAUGUUCGACUCCCGCGUGGAUACGUUUUCGGUGGUAGUGGAUCACGAUCAACCGGGUGACAUCAUGUCCGUGGUCCAAUAUAACUGGAUGCUUCGACUCCCACGGAAUUUCCGCCUUUUCGAUUCUGCCGCCUACCCGUAAAACACCGUCCACGAGUUGGGGAUCGAGACUUGCAAUACGACUAUCUCGUGGAACCGGACGACCCUUUCUCAACGCUUCGAUUUCGUCUUGGAAGCGAUCGCUCUGGCCCCAUCUGAUCCAGUACAAGUUAGCAUUAUCGAGUUCGUCCACAGUCAACGGUCCCGAUAUUCGUUUCUCUUUGUUGCGCAGAUUGUUACACAUGCGAAAUAUCCAUGCGGUUAUUCGGGUGAGUUUGAUCCAGCUAGAAUACGCCGCAGGAUCAAUAACUGGCUUCGCUGGUGCGACCUUUGCCUUCAAAACCGAUUUCUUCAACUCCGCUUGACUUGGCUCUGGAAAAUCAACUGCAACUUUAUCAACAGGCCACUCAGAGAACUCAGACUUUAAGAACUCUGGUCCCUGAAUCCAGGUUGAAUCAGCGGAAAUAUCAGCUACAGACGUUCCUCUGCUCGCAAUAUCUGCAAUAUUCAGCUUCGUGCCAAUGUGAUGCCACUGAAUUGGAUCACUCUCCGACAGGAUCUCUGCCACUCGAUUAGCAACAAAUGGACGAAAUUUCCUUGGCUCACUCUUGAUCCACCAUAACGCAGUCGUGGAAUCAGACAGAUACUUGACACGACACUUGUCAAGUUCCAGUUGCUCACAGACAGACUUCGCCAGUCGGACAGCAAGUUGACAAGCCAUCAAUUCUCCGCGCGGAAUAGAGACUGUCUUAAGCGGCAUUAAACGAGUCUCCGACAUAAUCAAAUGGCACACGUAAUCUCCAUCGGUUGACUUUGCACGUAUAAAGGCAGCAGCGGCGUAGGCUACUUCUGAAGCAUCACAAAAGACUAUGAGAAACUUAGACCAGACUUUCGAAGGCUCACGGUAGAUAUAGCGCGGGACCGAGAAAGCUUUCAGCCAAAUCAUCUCCUCCUCCCACUUCUGCCAUUCGAUUGCUAAGUCCGGUGGAAGUUGUUCAUCCCACUGGAGGCCACGAGACCAGGUGCGUUGCAGAAGAAUCUUGGCACGGACAACGUACGGACUAGCCCAGCCCAACGGGUCGUACAAUGCAGCCAAUCUUUUCA